GGCGGCGCCCUUGGGCGUCGUUAUCCUUCUUGAAGGCAUCUCGGAAGAGUUCAUCCACUCAUCUCUGGGGUGUGGGCAAGUUGGUGGUUUCAUUCUGGAAUCCUCUAGGCAGGGUGCUUGCAAUCCCCUACAUCUCGGCUG